GAGGUACCUCAUUUCUUACAUAGUAUGUUCAUUUUAAGGUUUAACUCAAUUGACAUACAACAUAUUUGUUCAUAAGAAAGCAAUGAUCAAAAGUGUUUGUCAGAUGUUGGAUGUUACUCUCCUUUUCUGCGUACGAAGCUGCAGAUGUAAAGGCUUUCAACCUUUGUAUGGUGCUCCUCUACAUUUUGUUGCUCUAUUAACCUGAUUUUCUCUACCAUAAGUUACUCAUGUCAUUUUUUGUUUCUGUAGAUUGCCAAGAUAAAUGGAUGAUGCAUGACUCAGAUGUUGAUUGCAAGGCCAAGAAUGGGGUUACUAUUAGAUAAUUAGAAUGUCAUUUUCACGAUCAAUGUUUCAAACAUUUUAGUAGAUUAGAAGGUCGAGAAUUAGGAUACAACAAGAUAGUUUCACAUCUUGUAAUCUUUGGAUCAUGUUCUAUGUAACGCUACAUAGUCGAAUUAAUAUAUGAGAAAGGUUUAUUAUAUUGUGGCUCCUAUAUAGUAUGGAUGUUUAACUAAAAAAAU
rnacentral:lncRNA from 1 species